CCCUGCAAACAGAAGAAACCUUGUAAGACACUUCAAGGUAUGGAAUGGAAUGACCUUCUAAGAGCUGCACCAAAGAAACAGCUGAGCAAGCUAUGCACCUACACUCCUGCACUUCUUUGUCCUGCACCAGCGUGAUUCUGCCUGAAUAGAUCAUUAUUUAAGAGCUGCACUGAUGCUUUCAGAUUAUUUGUAGAUUUUAUUGUAAUCAGACAUUGCUUUGAUGCUGUCAUUUUUAUUGGACAUUUCUCCACCUCUCCCAUAACCACAGAAAGAAGAUGAAUAAAAACAGUAUUGCCCACCCUCACCUUUAAAAGCAAUACACAUCAGAUACUCAUUCUCAACGAUAAAUGUCUAUGGAACUUGCAAACCUAUAGAUAACGAACAGUCCAGAAAGUUAUAAUACUACUAUGAUAUUAUAGAGCACUUUACAGAACUUCUGUCAAAGCAGACAUGAGAAUUCUCAUGCUUAAAAGGUCUCAAAACAGACAUUUUAAAAUUAAGAUCCUAUGUAUUUUUCAAUAAGCCUUUUUUUCAAGAAACACUUCUGUCCCUCUUUUAAUCGUCGCCUCCCACCUCCCUUACAUGUAAACAGAGAUCUGAUCUUCUGCCUGUGUUUCUGGCUUCCUAUUUUGCUGUUAUUUUCAUAGAAUCACAGAAUCGUUUGAGUUGGAAGGGACCCUUAAAGGCCAUUCGGUCCAACUGCCCUGCAAUGAACAGAGACACCUACAGCUCCAUCAGGUGCUCAGAGCCCCAUCCAGCCUCUCCCUUGGUGUUGCCAGGGAUGGGGCAUCCACCACUUCCAGACAACCUGUACCACUUCCUCACCAGCCUGAUUUCCUUCCCUUAAUGCUGAAACUCAGUUUGGAACAAGUUCCUGCCCAAAUAAAGCAUUGUCUUUUGGAAGCGAAUACACACUUAACUCCUCAUUCUUAAAGAGCUAUCACUGCCUUUUAAGUAAAGUCUUCAGUGUGCUAUUGAUGAACACAUCUGUUCUGUUCCUCCCACUGCUCACAGAAUCCCUAUCUUGCUAUUUGGAGAACCCAGAAGAAUCACACCUCCAUUAAAAGGACUGCCAAGGAUGUUUUCAGCAUCUCUAUCCAGACAACAAGCAAAAAUCAGGAGAAGCUCUAGGACGAAGACAAAAUGGAAGCUUGUCUCAACCUCAAGGACCUUUGCAGCCCCUCCUGUCACAAGAAAGCGUUAUGCUCUGAGACACAGUAAGUUGGAAGUUACAGUUCAAACUCAAGUUAGCAUUGUAAACUUCUUAUUUGAAAUGGGACUGUUGCACAAUACUGGGGAAACGUUCAAAUUCUUCCUUUGUUGGUUUGUUGGGUUUUUUUGGAGCUGGCAAUUCCGCAAUGCGUUCAGGAACUAGGAUCAUUCCCUGUAUUUCUGCAGAAAGAUUAACCAUUUAAUUGUGCAUGCUUUCAAAAGUCUAAUCAAGACACGUGUUCACGAAGCUACUGAAACGAUGAUGUAACUGAAUACAACUGUUCACACUCCCGCAGAUGCAGACUGGAUGAAGGCAAAUUCCAAUGCAAUUUUUGCCAUAAGAUGGAAGUUUACCAUAAAGACAGACCAUAAAGACACGACCAUCUGUAACUUGAGCACUUUGUAUCAGCAUUGAUUGCAUGCUCAGACCUUAAUCUUCUAAGAUAGAGUAACUAAUAGAGAGUGAAUGAACACAGCAAUGCUUACCUCACCGUUGUUUACUACAGCCAUGGAGGAGGUCUGACCACAAGCAAUGCCAACUACCAUUUUAUCCUGCAAACAGUUUGAAACUCUCCGAGGAGUUGGCUGGUUUGCUGUAGAUCCUGAUCCAACUUGACCACAGUUGUUAUAGCCCCAAGCAUAUAGCUUUCCAUAAAACAAACAAACAAACAAAAACCUUGUAGUUUAAGACUUAAUGACAGUAAUAAAGAGUAAUCUUACCAUAGCCAGGAUCAGACUGGGUAAACCAACCUAUUUAACUAGCUUUAACGUUUAAGAUAAUUUUCACCUGUUUUUAAUUAAUAAACAGCAACAGAAUCGACCCAAGAAAUAAGAACACAGCACUUCUCCAGCUUCUUACUACAGAAUCAGAGCAUUUGACUUCAGCCAGCGCAAGGAAUGUACUUCCACCUUAAGUAGAAGUUGGAUCAGAAGAGCAGAAUGAACGGACUUCAUGCUUCCAUGAUGUUGGAAAAACAUGAAUUCAAGUCAAAGUGAUUUGAUUCCCAAACACACUGAAGCCCCCACUGUUCAGUACCCUUGAGAGAACAAUAACCUAGGUUAUAGCCAGAUAAUCAUCUCUCUUUUUCAGUCUUCCAGGAGUUGUUAAAGCAGCUGAUUUUAUCGGGUCACAUGUCAAAGUAACACAACCUUGUUACACAAUGGCAUUAACAAAAAGCAGCAUUUCUGACAGUUCCCAGUUUGCCAGUGGCACGCAGAUAAUUCAUAUUAGAAAAGCCUUCUUUGACGUGAAAGUCCAAAAGACAGGAAAGUAGUUUGCUAUAAAAAUACUUAACUUUGGACAUUCAGUUUCUUCAAUAUUUAUUACUGACGCUACGCCCUUGGCAUAAAACUAUUUUUGAUAGCUCUCUGAUAAACCAGACAGUUAAUGAGUUUGUCCUCUUAGAAAUACUCACUACAGAGAUGCUAACCACCUGCACGCUGACAGAGAUAGGUUAUGGAAAAUGUGCACACCCUAGGGUGCCAGUUAACCCAGAGGAGAUCGAGUUCACCAAGCCAGGAGUCAGACAUCAGUACUAACACCACCACAAAGCAACAGAAACCCACAAAUCAUAUGCCUAAUUUACAGAGAAAAGAAAGCAUUAGUCUUUUGCUUACUGUUACUUGUAUUUUCUGGAUCUUUGAUUCCUACUGAAUAUUUUGAUCUACAAUACAUAUCUCAGUAACAUAAACGUCUUCACAGUUUUUACUUGCACUGCAUUAAACUCACACUGAACCAACCGUACAAAUCAAUUAUUCCAAGUAUUUCUAUGAGUUACUUCCAACUCCAAUGCCUCUCUGAAACUUCAGAGAAAGCCACAAGGCUUUCUGCAGCCAAACCCUUCUGUAAAUAACUCCACUUAAAAUAUUUCAUUGCUUUCAAUCUAAUUGAUUUUGAAACAGAUAAAACCUCGGAGCGCCAACAGACUAAGCUAUAGCAAAGUACACUAUGGAUGUAUUUAUAGUACACUAACUAGCCACAAUGGCUAGCCAGCUGCAAACAUCAGCUCCAUGGGAAAUACAAAGAAGUUUCCCCUCUUCCACUGAGAUUUCAAACACGUUCUGUUUAUUACAAAAGACAGCACAGUCGCCCCAGGCAGCUACCACACAGUAGCUGACACCAACAGUUAAGCUAACACAUGAAUACUCUUGCCUUCCCACAUGGAAAAGAAUUACGUAUCAAAUUUUAUCAUUUAAUCCAAGCAAACAUGACAGCACAAAGAUCUUUUCUAAGCACAGGCUAUCCUUUCCGAGAUAUAAUGCAUUCCACUUAAAUUAACUCAGUCUCUUUCCUACCCUCAGCUCUUCUGUAUUAACUGCAGCAUUAUGACUCCAUAAUUAAGCAUAACUCAGACGUGCUCAGAUUACUAGGAUAGAAAGAGCUGCAGUUCCCAUUUUCAUCGCUAGAAAGGUUUGUACUUUCUGUGCUUCUGUUUCUUUUUAAGCAGAGUUGACUCAAACUUUCUUCCAUGCAGUAAAAUGCAGUCCCAAUCACACAAACACAGUGGUCAAAUCUGACUAAAUGGAGAAUAAUUGGACAUGUUUCCCGUGACACAUAGCCUCAAGCCACAGAAACAAAUAGCAUAAAGCAGACUUGGCACGUGAACCAAAUGCUCGCUCAGCAGCUAUACACACAAGUGUGUAGAGAUGUACAAACCAAAAUUCUUUCCAUAAUAACAGUGGAAAUCAUGAAGACUGCAAGAAACAGACUGAAGGCAAACCAGUGAACGCUAACAACUCAACAAACCCCUUUAAUA